UAUAAGGACAUAAAAUGUGUACCUACUUUUAGCUAUCAUAGUUUGAGAUCAAAACCUUGUUGAUUUCUUCUUUUGUAGCAUGUUAACACUUACUGGCUGAGAGAUUGUCUAGAUACUCCAUAAUCUGGAUAACCGACCUCUCCUUAGUUUAGCAGAGUGGUUUAAGAGCUGGGCUCUGGAGUCAGACUGCCUGGUUUCACCACCAUUAGCUUACUUUACUUCACCGCCAUUAGAUUACUUUAAUCCUUUCCUUUGUGCCUCAGUUUACUCAACUGUAACGAGGAGAUGCUUAGAAUAGUGUUUAGGACUGUGCCUGACAUACAAUACUCUGUAAUCAUUAAUUACUGUGGUAUCAUUUAUUAUUAUAUAUUUCUCCUGCUACUGUCCUUGCUUCUCAUGCUCCUGCUCAGGCUUUUUGUACUUGGUGUUCUGGGCCUGAAUUCUGCCCUCCUCCAAUAGCUGUAUGGUUUACUUCUUCAUUUCCCUUGGGUCUCAGCUCAGGUGUCACCUUUAAAUGUGUUUGUUCCUUAUCACCCUGAAGGAAACCAAACCCUACUCUCAUUUUCUGUGUUUAGCAGGGAUGAAUCCAGAUUUUGUAGGGCUUGAAGUUUGUGUAAUUUUGGGGGCUCUCAUUAAGUAAACCAGUUAAAUGAGAAUAAAAAGUUUGGUAUUACAAGUUACUGAAUAUUUUUUAGUUGUAGGAGGUAAGAAUAAUGGAGUAAAUACAGGUAAAAAUUACCCACUGUUGUUAUCAGAGUUUUCUUCCAACGUGUGUAUAUCCUUAAAAUCCAUUUUUGGAUUCCUGUUGUUCUUACAGUGCCUCAGGAAUAGAUAGAUGACUUAUGAUCUCUCACUAUCCCUGUGCAGUCCUCUCUCUCCAUGUCAAUCUUAUGAGGUGACAAAGUUGACAGAAAUAAAGCAUUG